CCAAAGGUGACCUCUGUGAAACUAUAUUGAAGGCCUUGCUUAAUAGCACCGCGAGUGUUCAACAACACCAAAGAUAGAGAGUUUGGCUAACGUGAGGGUGCGGCAUAGCUCCAUUACUUCGCGCCAGCCUGAGUGCCAAGAGGCUGCCUCAGUGCAUCCUGCUGCAGCUGAUGACAGCCACACUGGAGAGACUGUUGCUGCUGCUGGAGUACAGACCGUGGCAGCGUCAGGGCGAGGAUAACGCCUCGCCUCGUAUCAUUCAGAAAUGUCAAUCUUUAUUAGCCAAAGGUGGUCCACAGUGAGGCAGGUGUUGACACGGACGCUGCUGAUUCUCUCUGCUGGCCUCUUGAUUUCUUGGAAUGUGGAAUAUGGUGAGUGAAGGUUGUGUGGGCUGCCACAGUCACCCGAGGGCGGACCGAAUGGGGUGGGGACUAUGCGCCGCGGAAUCAGUGGUGCAGACUUAAAUUAAGAUACUCAACAG